rnacentral:rRNA from 1 species
ACUCUCUAGUGACCGAUAGUGAACCAGUACCGUGAGGGAAAGGUGAAAAGCACCCCGGAAGGGGAGUGAAAUAGAACCUUAGGUCGUGUGGUUGCAAGUAGUCAGAUACCGUUAAUGGUCGAUGUCGUGCCUGUUGUAGAAGGAACCGGCGAGUGACGAUUUGAUGCAAGGUUAAGCAGGAUAAGUGGAGCCGUAGCGAAAGCGAGUCUGGCUAGGGCGUUUAGUAGUUGGUCGUAGACCCGAGACCAGGUGAUCUACCCUUGGUCAGGUUGAAGUUCAGGUAACACUGAAUGGAGGACCGAACCGACUUACGUUGAAAAGUGAGC